rnacentral:pre_miRNA from 1 species
AAAGUACUCCCUCCGUCCCAAAAUUCUUGUCUUAGAUUUGUCUAGAUACGGAUGUAUCAAGUCACAUUUUAGUAUUAGAUACAUCCGUAUCUAGUCAAAUCUAAGACAAGAAAUUUGGGAUAGAGGGAGUAGUUG